rnacentral:piRNA from 1 species
CUCCGUGCCUUCCAGGUGAGCC